AGCUAUCUAAAUUAACAUGAAUUUGGAACUGGGAAGGAUCAGGUACAGAAAAGGCAUGGGAUUAGGGACCUUCAGCUCUGUGAGGGGUGCAGGAGAUCUGAAGAACAGCCUGGAAGAAGGAUGUGGAUGCCAUAGCUAAAAGUCUUGGACACAGCCGUCACGUGCUGCUCCAGCCAACUUCCCAUGAGGUCAGUCCUUAUGCAUCGCCAUCCUGACUGUUGGUGGCCGCAGCGCUCAUCCUCAGCCCCAGGUGUGCAACAAAAAAGGAGCUUCUCCCAACUCCUAAUUGCAUGGAAAGGC
rnacentral:lncRNA from 1 species